UACGUAGGGGGCGAGCGUUGUCCGGAAUUACUGGGCGUAAAGGGCGCCUAGGCGGUUGUUUAAGUCCGCUGUGAAAGACCGAGGCUCAACCUCGGGGUGUCAGCGGAGACUGGACGACUGGAGUGUCGGAGAGGAGUGCGGAAUUCCUGGUGUAGCGGUGGAAUGCGUAGAGAUCAGGAGGAACACCGAUGGCGAAGGCAGCACUCUGGCCGAAGACUGACGCUGAAGCGCGAAAGCUGGGGGAGCGAACGGG
rnacentral:rRNA from 1 species